rnacentral:rRNA from 1 species
AGCUCCAAUAGCGUAUAUUAAAGUUGUUGCAGUUAAAACGCUCGUAGUUGAACUAGUGUGAGUGGAUAUGUAGUUUGUCGCAAGACAUAAUGACAAAUCUCUUACUAUUUUGGGAAAGUGGUAGUUUCUACCUCCAAACCCACGUUACUGUGAAGAAAUUAGAGUGUUUAAAGCAGGCAUAUAUAGCUUGAAUACAUCAGCAUGGAAUAACAAGAUAAGACCAAGUUUUAUUUUGUUGGUUAAUAAAACAAGAUAAUGAUUAAUAGGGUCAGUUGGGGGCAUUAGUAUUUAAUAGUCAGAGGUGAAAUUCUUGGAUUUAUUAAAGACUAACUAGAGCGAAAGCAUUUGCCAAGGAUGUUUUCA